rnacentral:lncRNA from 1 species
CCAACAAAAAAAGGAACGGCAAUACACACUACAGACGCACAACACACAAAAAUCUGCACCAAAAAAAAAAAGGGAAAAAGGAGAAAAAACGUACAGGAAAACAAAGAAAAUUUCAACAAUAGACUUCCUUAUCCACGCACACACAACAUACAUAUUCGUCCUCUUAUUAUACAUUUUUUUUCCAAACAAAGGUUGAGUUUGAGGUUUGCUUGCGGGGUUUCAAGUUCGUGGUUCCCUAUUAGGAUUGCUCUCUUUUCGUGAGUUUGUAACCUAAAAUUUAGUUUGUUGUCUUGUCAU